UACACUCCUGCGGGAGGCAGCAGUGGGGAAUAUUGGCCAAUGGGCGCAAGCCUGAUCCAGCCAUGCCGCGUGAGUGAUGAAGGCCCUAGGGUUGUAAAGCUCUUUCACCGGUGAAGAUAAUGACGGUAACCGGAGAAGAAGCCCCGGCUAACUUCGUGCCAGCAGCCGCGGUAAUACGAAGGGGGCUAGCGUUGUUCGGAUUUACUGGGCGUAAAGCGCACGUAGGCGGACUAUUAAGUCAGGGGUGAAAUCCCGGGGCUCAACCCCGGAACUGCCUUUGAUACUGGUAGUCUUGAGUUCGAGAGAGGUGAGUGGAAUUCCGAGUGUAGAGGUGAAAUUCGUAGAUAUUCGGAGGAACACCAGUGGCGAAGGCGGCUCACUGGCUCGAUACUGACGCUGAGGUGCGAAAGCGUGGGGAGCAAACAGGAUUAGAUACCCUAGUAGUCCCAUG
rnacentral:rRNA from 1 species